CAUUUAAAAUUGAUUUCAUGACCCAGUUUUUUUUGAUUCAUAAAGAUAAUGAUGUCUUUUAAUAUUUCAUUAUCAUAAAUUGCAACUAAGUAUCUUGGAGGUAUCUAAUAUUUUAUGCCAAAAAGAAUGGGGUUUUGAAUUUCCGUGCGUGAUUUAAAAGAUCUAAUUAUUUAGAUAGAAAAGUGUUAAAAAGUUUUAGUUAAGUGAUAUUUUUUACUUUGCGUAUUGUUAGGUUACUGAAUUGAAUGGCAAAUUUUUUUUUUUCUUCUACGACAUUUUAGCAUUGUUUUUUUUGCAUCACGCACAGACAUAUUACGCACGGACAAAUAUUCAUCCGUGCGUGAUAAUUAUUUUUCUUUAGCUUCAUAACGUUUGAAUAGGAUAUUAAUUAGUUUGAGUAUAACUUAGUUAGAUAGAAAACAGUUGCUUAAAAGAAUUUAGAAUUAAAAUGAACAAAGUUAAGCAUUCAAUAGUUCAGAAAAAAUUUAGAAAGAAACAUCCAGAAUAUUGGAUUGCUGAAACUAAUCGAAUGAAAAAUAAAAGAGCUAACAUGAGCGAAAAAGUAAAGGAGGAAGUAUGUCAAAAAAACCGUGAAAGAAAGAAGCAAAAGCGAGAGGUGAACCAAUCUACAUCUGAUAUUAAACAAUCCUUUUUAUCUCCGCAGAGUUUUAGAAAGGCACUUAAAAAAAUUAAUUCAGCAUUACCCGCCAAUUCAUACAAAAGAAAAUACCUUUUAAAAAAAAUUUGUAAACGUGAAAACAUACUACUUUCCAAUAUUUUAGAAUCAGGCCCUGACCACGUCGGUUUGGACGAUGUUAAUUGCAAAGUUAUUGAUUUUUAUUUGUGAGAUGAUAUUAGUAGAAUGACUGCAGGACGCAAAGAUGUUGCUAUUAAUAAGAAAACAAAAGAGAAGAAACAAAUUUGUCACAUGCUGAUGACCAUAUGAGAAGCAUAUUCACUUUUUAAAAGUGAGCAUAUUAAUUUAAAUUCUAUGUCAAGCUAGUAAACGAUAUUACUUGCGAUAUUUGCCUUUGCAUAUACCAUGAAAAUUUCAGGUUGUUAACGAAUGCCCUUCAAAAAAAAUUUAAUGUUAUGUCAUAAAUAGUUGACAGACCUGUGUGUAAUCAAAACAACCAAUUAAAAACAACUAAGCAAAUUGUGGGUUGCCAAAGUUUGAUGAAUAUGUUUCUAAUGUAAUAGACUCAUUUGGUGACGAUUCCAACAAAAAACGCGCAGAAAAUUGAACAACCACUAACAUCUUUGUUAAAGGGGUGCGUAUUACUGCGUCAGCAAUUGCCAGAUUAUAUACGGCAUGUGUAUAUAAAGCAACAACAAAGUGCAUAUUUUCGUUUAUGUCACUAAAAUGUAUCAGAAAAUGAAUUGAUUAUACAAAUGGAUUUCAGUGAAAAUUACACCAUAAUGGAGCAAAGUGAAAUUCAAUCUGCUUACUGGGUUCAUCAGCAACUAACAGUAUUCACUGCAGCAAUUUGGAGUAAGAACAAUACACAUUCCUAUGCCAUUGUAUCCGAUCGUUUACUUAAUGAUAAAUAUGCCGUCUUGUUUAUUAUCAAUGGAUUAUUAAGUUGUUAUCAUAAUAUUUGUAAAUUACACUUUUUCACUGAUGGUCCUUCAUCACAAUUCAAAAACACUUAUGUCACGACAGCCAUGAAUAAUUUGUCCAAAUUAUCAUCUGAACUUCUUGAGAUUCGUUAGUCAUUUUUUGCAACAUCACACGGAAAGGGGACAGUUGGUGGCAUAGUUGGAGAAAUAAAAAGAAUGGUUUGGACAACAGUAAAAUCUGGAAAAUGAUAUUGUUGCAGUUUACAAGAUCUUGUGAGCAUUGCAAGUGAAAAAAAUACCAAAAUUAAUAUCAUCUCUAUUACAAAUGAGUGUAUUACCGCAAACCAAAGUGAGAUCAAUGAGACACUUCUCAAAGAUAAGUUUAAAGUCAAGGGUAUUCGUCGCCACCACUCUUCUUUUUAAUAUCGAUGGCAUUUACAUGGCAAUUUAUAACCAAUCAGAAAUAGUAAAAAUUGUUAAGAAUUCAUCAUCUUCAUUAUUGAUAAACGCGGUAUCAUCCCCAUCUGAAAGGUACAAAUUUAAUACUAUUUCUCCAGGUAUAUUUGUCUUUGUAGAAUUGCGUUCUGCUGGUAGAGCAAAGAUAUACCUUGCCGAAGUAUUAGAUAAUAUGGCACAUAUUAAAUUCCUAAAAGAACAAAACGAACUCAUUUUUAUAUACCCAUCUGUAGACGACCUCUCCUGGCAUGACUUGUGUGAGUUAAAACCGUUAGUACCGCAACCACACUUUAAUAACCGUGGGCAUAUUAUUAUCAAGCCAAAGUGUUACAACUAAACAUAUUGAUAAAAAUUUGAUAUUGUAUCUUUCUUUUCUUUAAUAUAUUAUUAACUAUAUAAUA
rnacentral:lncRNA from 1 species